GACGAACGCUGGCGGCGUGCUUAACACAUGCAAGUCGAACGGAAAGGCCCUGCUUUUGUGGGGUGCUCGAGUGGCGAACGGGUGAGUAACACGUGAGUAACCUGCCCUUGACUUUGGGAUAACUUCAGGAAACUGGGGCUAAUACCGGAUAGGAGCUCCUGCUGCAUGGUGGGGGUUGGAAAGUUUCGGCGGUUGGGGAUGGACUCGCGGCUUAUCAGCUUGUUGGUGGGGGAGUGGCUUACCAAGGCUUUGACGGGUAGCCGGCCUGAGAGGGUGACCGGCCACAAUAGGACUGAGAUACGGCCCAGACUCCUACAGGAGGCAGAAGGGGGGAGUAUUGUACAGUGGGCGGGAGCCGGAUGCAGCAACGCCGCGUGCGGAAUGACGGCCUUCGGGUUGUGAAAAGCUUUCGCCUGAGACGAAGCGUGAGUGACGGUAAUGGGUAAAGAAGCACCGGCUAACUACGUG
rnacentral:rRNA from 1 species